rnacentral:rRNA from 1 species
AGGCCUUUACUGACGCUAAAGCUCGAAGGUGCGGGUAUCGAACAGGAUUAGAUACCCUGGUAGUCCGCACGGUAAACGAUGGAUGCCCGCUGUUUGCGAUAUACUGUGAGCGGCCAAGAGAAAUCGUUAAGCAUCCCACCUGGGGAGUACGCCGGCAACGGUGAAACUCAAAGGAAUUGACGGGGGCCCGCACAAGCGGAGGAACAUGUGGUUUAAUUCGAUGAUACGCGAGGAACCUUACCCGGGCUUGAACUGCAGCGGAAGGAUACAGAGAUGUUGACGCCCUUCGGGGCCGCUGUGGAGGUGCUGCAUGGUUGUCGUCAGCUCGUGCCGUGAGGUGUCGGCUUAAGUGCCAUAACGAGCGCAACCCUUUUCAUUAGUUGCCAUCAGGUCAUGCUGGGCACUCUGGUGAUACUGCCACCGUAAGGUGUGAGGAAGGUGGGGAUGACGUCAAAUCAGCACGGCCUUUACGUCCGGGGCUACACACGUGUUACAAUGGGUGGUACAGAGAGUCGGUCGUCUGCAAAUGCGAUCCAAUCCUUAAAGCCAUCCUCAGUUCGGAUUGGGGUCUGCAACCCGACCCCAUGAAGCUGGAUUCGCU